CACGCAGGCGGUCUGUCAAGUCGGAUGUGAAAUCCCCGGGCUCAACCUGGGAACUGCAUUCGAAACUGGCAGGCUUGAGUCUUGUAGAGGGGGGUAGAAUUCCAGGUGUAGCGGUGAAAUGCGUAGAGAUCUGGAGGAAUACCGGUGGCGAAGGCGGCCCCCUGGACAAAGACUGACGCUCAGGUGCGAAAGCGUGGGGAGCAAACAGGAUUAGAUACCCUGGUAGUCCACGCCGUAAACGAUGUCUACUUGGAGGUUGUGCCCUUGAGGCGUGGCUUCCGGAGCUAACGCGUUAAGUAGACCGCCUGGGGAGUACGGCCGCAAGGUUAAAACUCAAAUGAAUUGACGGGGGCCCGCACAAGCGGUGGAGCAUGUGGUUUAAUUCGAUGCAACGCGAAGAACCUUAC
rnacentral:rRNA from 1 species